AACAAAAAGACACAAUGGCGAGCAGGUCGACUCUCACUUUGGUUCUCGGGUUACUGCUUUUGGCUCUCGUGCUGAUGGCGACGGUCUCUUUGGCCAUGCCACAGUCUUUCCCUCCAGACUAUUGCAGAUAUGUGAAAAUAAGAUGCUUCCCUGGAUCAACCCAUAUUUGCUGCGCAUUUUUUUCAGGAUAAAACGUGUUGAGAAUGUGAUUUAGAUUUUUGAGAAUGAACACUACAAUAAAAAAAGAACAUCGGAAUGGAGAGUCCAUACCAAAUUAUUAUAUUUCGAAGACUAUGUGGUACUGAAAACAUGUGUUACAGACAGAAUCGUUUAGGAUAAAACCACUUGCAUGAUAAAAAAUGUAUCCCUCUUAUAUAGACAAAUAACUUGAAUGAUAAAUAAGUGUCAGCGAUUAAAAUGUAUAAAUAUUAAGAAUGCACUCUCUUGAUUAAAGGAAAUAAAAUAGAAAUUGAUUUUGUUCUUGCAGUGUAUGUGUUUUAGACAAAAUUAGGAUAAAAACACCUGAUUGUAAAAAAGUGUCUAGGAUGACGAAUGGAGGAAACACGGACACUAAAGAUUGUAUUGUUUC